rnacentral:rRNA from 1 species
AUUGAACGCUGGCGGCAGGCCUAACACAUGCAAGUCGAGCGGAUGAGUGGAGCUUGCUCCAUGAUUCAGCGGCGGACGGGUGAGUAAUGCCUAGGAAUCUGCCUGGUAGUGGGGGACAACGUUUCGAAAGGAACGCUAAUACCGCAUACGUCCUACGGGAGAAAGCAGGGGACCUUCGGGCCUUGCGCUAUCAGAUGGGCCUAGGUCGGAUUAGCUAGUUGGUGAGGUAAAGGCUCACCAAGGCGACGAUCCGUAACUGGUCUGAGAGGAUGAUCAGUCACACUGGAACUGAUACACGGUCCAGACUCCUACGGGAGGCAGCAGUGGGUAAUAUUGGACAAUGGGCGAAAGCCUGAUCCAGCCAUGCCGCGUGUGUGAAGAAGGUCUUCGGAUUGUAAAGCACUUUAAGUUGGGAGGAAGGGCAGUAAGUUAAUACCUUGCUGUUUUGACGUUACCGACAGAAUAAGCACCGGCUAACUUCGUGCCAGCAGCCGCGGUAAAAC